GACUGGCUGGAUAGGAAGAUGACUCUCCAUUUUGGCAUUAGCCAGGUGCCCUAGGACAACAGGAAGAGGAGGCUGGAGAGCACAUGGAGUGGCGUGAGAAGAAUGACUGGCAAUUCUAGACUAGAAGCAGUCAUCUGCAAAAGCAGCCUACAUAGCAUAAAGAUGUUUAGAAAUAAUCCUUGGAGUUAAAGAAAUCUGAGAAAGAGAAACUGCCCUCUUAUGCCUCAAGAAUUUGGAAAAGACCUAUCAGAAGGGACGUUUUUCCUCCCCAAGAAUCUUUAAGGUUUAAAAGUGAGUUUUGUAUUAUCUUUUUCAUCUGCACCCUGAGAAUUUCCCCUCCAUAAAGAGCUUCCGUACAUGCUGAUGGGAGUCCUGCCCACAGAUGAGGUAACUCAGAGCUUCUCAAACCUGGCAGAACUGCUCAGAACUGCUCAGAGCAUAAUAGCAUGUCCAGAAGCAAAGGAGUAACCGGGACUCAGAGAAAUCAGCAGAGAACAAGCAGAGUCCUGGGCAGGCCAGGAGCCACAGCAAGUUAUUAGUACAGACAUCUGAGGAAGCACCAAACCUGAAGCAAAGUCAAGUUCACUUGACUUUGGUAUGCAUUGUUAUUAGUGGUGUCUGCCAAAUGCCUAACUCCACUAGUAACAAUGGUACAGAUAUGAAAGAAAAGAUAAUCACUGUGGUCAAAUUUACGUAAUUUAAAACAGUGCUGAGAAGAGGCAUGGGGCCAAGCAGGUCAUUAGACUGUGAGCUCUUUGAGAGCAGGAACUGGUUUUUGAUUACCUUUCUUUGUAUCCUCAGUACUUAGGACAAUGCUAGCACAUAGUCGGUGUUUUAUAAAUGUGCCUUGACUUGACAGGUGACAGGGAAGAUGGCUCACCAACAGUAGCCUGGGGAAUCAUUUUGAAGCUAGAUUAUAAAACUGAGAGCUGGUUUCUGGCUGAGGACAGUUUGCUGGCCCCUCUUGAUGAAGUAAUCUGACUUGGUUCAGGGGCAAGAAAAGGCUUCUUCCUGCCCCCCACCUCCCCUAAUAUAAUUUUAGUGGCAACAUUAUUUAUAAUCCUAGGAAACAAAAAUGUUUACUCAGUAAAAAUGCUUACUCAGUAAGCAAACAUUUCUGUAGCUACUGGACAUUUCUGAGAAAUAAAGUCAGAAAGUAUGAGUCCAGAGGACCAUUUUAAAGAUCUCCAUGAGAAUUAAUUAAUUGACUGAGAAUUGCUCUCCCCCCACCUUUUACACCAGUAAACAGAACCUCUUCUACAUUCUUUGAGAAAAGAUUGAGGUGCACAGUAGUUUGCUCAUUAAAUCACACUGCCUGGAAGUGGGUGCUGGAUAAGUGUUAGUGGACAUAAGCUUAAUUUAACUUAAGAUGGAGGCUCAUCUAAAGGAGGGGGGGGGUCCCCAUAAAUAAGUUUCUGAGCUGAUCUGAAAAUAUUUGGCUUGUAGGCCCACAAUUUAAAUGUUUCUUGCUUGUUAGUUAAAUGUAAUGAUUUUCCCAUAUAGAACCAUAACUAGAAAUUCUGGCAUCUAGGACAAAGGGGAUAGGUGGGUCUGGUGGUAGAAGAUUGCAACCAAGGGAGAGACCAUAGGAAUGGUGUAAAGUUGAGCUGGGUCUGGAGGAACUCACCUGCUGGGUGUGGAAAAGCUUUGAGGAUCCCCCCUUCAGGGUAUACAAACUUUCACUUUUAUUGUAGGAUAGUGGAGAGAGGCUUUUCUGUGAUUAAUGGUUGGGUACAGUCAUGGUAGAGGCAGCUAAGUGCCUCAGUGGAUAGAGCAUUGGGCCUGGAGUCAGGAAGACCUGAGUUCAAAUGUGGCCUCGGACUCUUACUAA